ACGUAGGUGGCAAGCGUUGUCCGGAUUUACUGGGUGUAAAGGGCGAGUAGGCGGGACUGCAAGUCAGUAGUGAAAUACCACGGCUUAACCGUGGCACUGCUAUUGAAACUGCGGUUCUUGAGUAAUGGAGAGGCAGGCGGAAUUCCCGGUGUAGCGGUGGAAUGCGUAGAGAUCGGGAGGAACACCAGUGGCGAAGGCGGCCUGCUGGACAUCAACUGACGCUGAGGAGCGAAAGCGUGGGGAGCAAACAG
rnacentral:rRNA from 1 species